rnacentral:tRNA from 1 species
AGGGGUAUAGUUCAGUGAUAGAACACUUGCCUAGCAUGUGCAAGAACCUGGGUUCAAACCCCAAUACUGCAA